rnacentral:rRNA from 1 species
UACGGGGGGGGCAAGCGUUGUUCGGAAUUACUGGGCGUAAAGCGCACGUAGGCGGCUUGUUAAGUCGGGGGUGAAAUCCUGGAGCUCAACUCCAGAACUGCCUUCGAUACUGGCGAGCUUCGAGUCCGGGAGAGGUGAGUGGAACUGCGAGUGUAGAGGUGAAAUUCGUAGAUAUUCGCAAGAACACCAGUGGCGAAGGCGGCUCACUGGCCCGGUACUGACGCUGAGGUGCGAAAGCUAGGGGAGCAAACGGG